UACGGAGGGUGCGAGCGUUGUCCGGAAUUAUUGGGCGUAAAGAGCUCGUAGGCGGCUUGUCACGUCGGAUGUGAAAGCCCGGGGCUUAACUCCGGGUCUGCAUUCGAUACGGGCUGGCUAGAGUGUGGUAGGGGAGAUCGGAAUUCCUGGUGUAGCGGUGAAAUGCGCAGAUAUCAGGAGGAACACCGGUGGCGAAGGCGGAUCUCUGGACCAUAACUGACGCUGAGGCGCGAAAGCUAGGGGAGCAAACAGG
rnacentral:rRNA from 1 species